CCUAACCCUUUCAAUAAAUAAAAAAUUUCCAAACCCCUUUCCCCUCAAUUCUCGCUCCCCGACUCCUCCUCUCCCUCGCGUUCGCUGAAUGUCGGCACCACCACCGCCUCUCCCGUACCUGCCGGCGACAGGUUCCUUUGCAUGUGAAAGUUAUUGAAGACGAUGAAAAAGUUGACCUGGUUUUCCACUGUAUGGGUAACUAGGAAACUUGCAAUGAGCAUGAGAAAUGCAAAUCAUUAAGAGCUACAAGAAUGAAAAAGGAAAGUAAAACUGAGCAAUAUGAAACUAAAAGUACAUUAGCUCCCUUUCAUAAACCCGGAAAUUCAUUAUUUCCUUCGAAUAUAUCCCCCGUGUGUAACUUUAACUUUGAUUAACGCGCAAGUGAUCAAUCAGCUUUUAUCUAAAGCAGUAGAUUUUGGCAUCAAGGGUAUCAAGGUCUUGAGUCCAAGGAGACAGUCAGAUUUUUUUGCUUAAAGAGCAUUGCGAAUGAUGAAUAAUCUGGGAAAUCCUUAAGAGAGCAUUGAGAAUAAUGAAUAAUGUGGAAAAGAACGCUUUUUCUAGACUCUAAACAUAUGCUGCUUUAUGGUUGAUCUUCUUAAGAAAGUUAAGGACAACUAAUUUGAUUCA